rnacentral:lncRNA from 10 species
GAGAAACAACGGGGAGAAACAGGGAGGGCUGAUGCUGGGCGGAGGCCCAGGAUGGGGGGCUCUGCAGGGGCCUUUUGAGCCCAGGCCCCCGAAGUGUGAUGCUGGGGCUCUCUGUGUAGGUUCUAGGUGUCUGGAGGAGUGGGGCCCCUCCCCUGCUAGCCCCCCAAGGACUCUUCCUCGGAUCCUCGGACCUCAUGGAGGUGCGGGGGUGCGACGGGGUCCUUGGCACAGAGCAGCCCUCUGGUUGCAUGUGACAGCGGCGGCCAAGGUCUCCCCUGCGCAUAAAUGUGGAGCUCGCUCGGCAGCAGCAGAACUCCCGGCUCAGAGAGUUCUCCACCGCUCCUCCCAGGCUCACGAGGCUCACGGGCUACCCAGCGCCAGCGGCCCAGGAGGCUGGACCACAGGCCUCAGUCCCGACUUCUCCCUGCUGCCCGGCACGGGACCCUCCCCCAGGACAGCCACCUCCCAGUGCUGAAGAGCCGGCCCGCCUCAGAGCCGCCCGCCGUUCCUUUUUCCUAUGCAUAUACUUCUUUGAGGAUCUGGCCUAAAGAGGUAUAGGGCAUGGGAAAACGGGGCGGUCGGGUCCUCCCCAGCGGCACCUGCACCAGUGCACCUGCACCUGCUCCAGCAGCACCUGCCUCCUGACUUGGGACUCCACCUGCUUCCUUUCUCCUCGGCCGGGAGCCCCGGGGCUUUGACCCCCACAUCCUUGGGGCAGAAAGGGGCCAAAUAUUCUAAAACAAGGGAAACGUGGAUGUGUGCUUUUGUGUGGGUUCUGGAAGUGUCUGGGGAGGACGUGGUCCAGGCCUCUGCCCUGGGUUGAUCUCUGCAGCCCCUGAGCUGGGACCCAGGAUGCAGAGAGGAGGGCUGGAGCUGGGCGGUGCUCUGUGACCAGUCUGACCGGAGUUGGGGGUGGACCCAUUACAGGAGGUGGCGGGAGGGACAACCUGGGCUCUGGGGCCGCCUGGUGGUCGGGGGAAGUGGGGCGGGGUGCCUGGGAUCUGGGCUCUGGCUGGGAGGAUCCACAACUCAUUCUUUGGACAUUUUCUUUGCAGACUACGAAGCUGCACCGUGUGGGGCCCACUUUUUAUACAAGCGGGUGGCGGUGGAUCCAGGCGCAGACGGGAGUGAGGCGUGGCGGAGACGCGUGCACGCUGGGUCUGUGCACUUUUGCUGCUGCUGCUUUUUUUUUUUUUUUUUUUUUUUGAGAUGGAGUCUCGUUCUGUCACCCAGGCUGGAGUGCAGUGGCGCGAUCUCGGCUCACUACAACCUCUGUCUCCCGGGUUUAAGCGACUUUCCUGUCUCAGCCUCCCAAGUAGCUGAAACGACAGGCGCCUGCCACCAUACCCGGCUAAUUUUUUUAUUUUUAGUAGAGAUAGGGUUUCACCUUGUUAGGCUGGUCUUGAACUCCUGACCUCAUGAUCCACCUCACUCGGCCUCCCAAAGUGCUGGGAUUACAGGCGUGAGCCACAGCGCCCGGCUGGCUGUUGCUUCUUAACACCUUUAUUACUUUUGUAAUCAUGGGUAUGAGUUGAUUUUCUGGUCAGAAAUUUCAGUAGAGCUAAUUUCAUUUAAAUGUGUGAGAUGUGGUAAAGUUUUGACAAUAAAUACAAAUUUUGACAAAGCAGCUCUGUCGUGCUGGUCUCCUCUCGUUCACGGUGGUUGGACGUCACAUUAGUCACGUGUGGACUUGGGGGAACUUAGUUAAAAAUGCAUAAACACGGGGGGAUGAAACGGCUCCUGGGGCCUCGGUUGGGGGCCUGGGCUGGGCACCGGUCUGGGGCCACCCUUCUGAUGACCAGAGCCUGGGACCGGCCGGCAGUGUUGGGAGAGCCCAGAGGGA